GAUGAACGCUGGCGGCGUGCCUAAUACAUGCGAGUCGAGCGAACAGAUGAGGAGCUUGCUCCUCUGACGUUAGCGGCGGACGGGUGAGUAACACGUGGAUAACCUACCUAUAAGACUGGGAUAACUUCGGGAAACCGGAGCUAAUACCGGAUAAUAUAUUGAACCGCAUGGUUCAAUAGUGAAAGACGGUUUUGCUGUCACUUAUAGAUGGAUCCGCGCCGCAUUAGCUAGUUGGUAAGGUAACGGCCUACCAAGGCGACGAUGCGUAGCCGACCUGAGAGGGUGAUCGGCCACACUGGAACUGAGACACGGUCCAGACUCCUACGGGAGGCAGCAGUAGGGAAUCUUCCGCAAUGGGCGAAAGCCUGACGGAGCAACGCCGCGUGAGUGAUGAAGGUCUUCGGAUCGUAAAACUCUGUUAUUAGGGAAGAACAAAUGUGUAAGUAACUAUGCACGUCUUGACGGUACCUAAUCAGAAAGCCACGGCUAACUACGUG
rnacentral:rRNA from 1 species